UCCGUACUAAUUAAACCGUAUUCUUACUUCGACUUAUAACAACCAAGAAUUAUUGUUCGUUUAACUUGACCAUUUUGUACAAUUUAAGUUUAUAUCUAAAUUUCAUUAUAAUUACUUUUGUUUGUAUUGUAAAAUCUAACGGAAGUGCAUUAAAUUAUACAAUCAUUAAUAAGACAUUAGUUUUGUUCUUAUUAAAUUUAUCAUGAAUUUAUUUAGACAUUCCUUUUAGAUUUAAAUAUUUUUUAUGAUAGAAAACACGCAACUCUGAGCGGGUACGAAAUGACGCAUGGUGGGAGUAACAUUUCUCCUCCGCUUGUCUACAGCGCUCGGUUUCUCUCGGCUUCAUUUGGUUUCCCGACACACCGAUAGAUAAAGUGCGUGUGUGCAUCGCGCGCGAGGCGCUCUGGAAGGGGUAGAAAUAUCCCACGUUCUGGCAACACUGACCGUAGUUAGUAUUGUUGACGGGAGGAAAUAGUCUCGAAAAGUAAGGUGAAAUUUUUCUCUUAUAAUACAGCCCUGACACAUUUGCUUCACGCUCUUUCUAAUUCUAUCGGGCUCCGCCAGACCGAAGAGUGGGGUUUCAAGGUCAGACUCUAAAGGGUUAAAGACUCCUUCAAAAAUACGUCGUAAAGCAAUCAUUCUGACUUGAAUGCUGUCUGGGUCGAGAACCGAUCGACUGCCUCUACCCCCUCAAAAUAGCAUGCAUACAACAAUACUGAAGAUAUAAGCCGGAUAUAUACCAUUUCGCCGGGAUAUAUAUUUUUUCCAUGUGGGAUACUGUCUUCGAACUCUAUGAGAUUCUUCGGAUUCUAUGAGAUUUUCUAAACAGGAUCCUGACACAUAAUAUUUGUUUAUAAAAACAGGAAAAAUUUCAUUAAAUGUAAAAUGUAACAUCGACACGGAUUGCUGUUCUGAAAAAUGUUUAUAUAUUGAUAUAAAUGAUAUUGAAAGAUUUGGAUUUUGCAUUCCUGUGAAAAAUAAUGAAAGAGACGAAAAAAUCAAGAAUGAGCCAUCCUGUCUUUCAAAUGGAAUUUCAUGUCUGGAUCAUAGUGAUUGCUGUUCUCGCAGAUGUGUAAAUCUCGGUUUAACAACAAUGCGUUUGUGUGCUGCUCGACAUUAAAGAAAACAUUUUUUAAUCACAUAAAAUAACAUAUCAUAAUAUUUAAGAUUAUGUGUAUAAAUAUUUUAAUAUUUGUGUAAACAAUGCAAGAGUAAAUAUAUAUGGUACACGGAGAGAAUUUAA